rnacentral:rRNA from 1 species
GGGUCAGUAGGCUGGUCGUGCCACCGGUACGUACUGGUCUCACUGAUUCCUCCUUCCUGAAGAACCGUAAUGCCAUUAAUUUGGUGUUGCGGGGAAACAGGACUGUUACUUUGAAAAAAUUAGAGUGUUUAAAGCAAGCUAACGCUUGAAUACAUUAGCAUGGAAUAAUGAAAUAGGACGAUCGAUCCUAUUUUGUUGGUUUCUAGGAUUGACGUA